rnacentral:tRNA from 1 species
AGCUGGAUAGCUCAGUUGGCUAGAGCAUGGUGUUGAUAAUGCCGAGGUUGCAGGUUUGAUCCCCAUAAGGGAUAGCUG